rnacentral:rRNA from 1 species
GACGAACGCUGGCGGCGUGCCUAAUACAUGCAAGUCGAACGCAGUGGGGACGGGUGAGUAACACGUGGGUAACCUCCCAUCAGAGGGGAUAACCCUUGGCAACAGGUGCUAAACCGAUACUGAUGGAUGGACCCGCGGUGCGUUAGCUAGUUGGUGGGGUAACGGCUCACCAAGGCCACGAUGCAUAGCCGGCCUGGGAGGGUGAACGGCCACCAUGGGACUGGGGAACGGCCCAGACUCCUACGGGAAGCAGCAGUAGGGAAUCUUCGGAAAUGGACGAAAGGCUGACCGAGCAACGCCGCGUGAGUGAAGAAGGUUUUCGGAGCGUAAAGCUAUGUUGUUAAGGAAGCGGUACUUAACCAGAAAGGGACGGCUAACUACGUGCCAGCAGCCGCGGUAAUAC